GACGAACGCUGGCGGCGUGCUUAACACAUGCAAGUCGAACGGAAAGGCCCUGCUUUUGUGGGGUGCUCGAGUGGCGAGCGGGUGAGUAACACGUGAGUAACCUGCCCUUGACUUUGGGAUAACUUCAGGAAACUGGGGCUAAUACCGGAUAGGAGCUCCUGCUGCAUGGUGGGGGUUGGAAAGUUUCGGCGGUUGGGGAUGGACUCGCGGCUUAUCAGCUGGUUGGUGGGGUAGUGGCUUACCAAGGCUUUGACGGGUAGCCGGCCUGGGAGGGUGACCGGCCACAUUGGGACUGAGAUACGGCCCAGACUCCUACGGGAGGCAGCAGUGGGGAAUAUUGCACAAUGGGCGGAAGCCUGAUGCAGCAACGCCGCGUGCGGGAUGACGGCCUUCGGGUUGUAAACCGCUUUCGCCUGUGACGAAGCGUGAGUGACGGUAAUGGGUAAAGAAGCACCGGCUAACUACGUG
rnacentral:rRNA from 1 species